AAGGGCACCACAAGAACGCGUGGAGCAUGUGGCUUAAUUUGACUCAACGCGGGAAAUCUUACCGGGUCCGGACACACUGAGGAUUGACAGGUGUUUCGUUUUGAUGCAGUACUUAUAUCAAUGCUUUUUGUUGCUUUGGCAGCGGUUUAAUUAUCGUUGUUUUUGUAGUGGGGAGUACAUAUGUGCCGUAUUACAAAACAUUUCAAAUAUGCUAGUCCUUUCAUGAUUGUGUGAUAGGUGGUGCAUGGCCGUUCUUAGUUCGUGGAGUGAUCUGUCUGCUUAAUUGCGUUUCACUAUGGCACGCAUGUGUUUUAUACUAAUACUGUGACCUCAUUGUUUUUUUACAAAGCAGUGACUGCGUCCGGUAUGGUAUGCGCUGUGAUGCCUCGAAGGCAACGAACGUGACCGCAGCCUCUUGUUGCCUCCCUUGUGCAUGCUGCAUUGUGUUUUGUGGUAGUGUUUUCAUUUUUAAUGAAUUCGCCAUGUUACGCUUUCAGUUUUGCCACAGUUUUUUCAACUGUAUGUAUUAUCUUAUGCCUGUNUGGUGUUUUAGAGUUGCACUAUGCGUAUGUGGUUGCUACAAAUGGUGAUCGUGUGCGUUUGUGUGACAUCUUGGCGCUGCUUUUAGGGUAUAUUGCAUGUGCGUACAAAGAAUUUAUCUGCAGUGGAGGGAAACUAGAGGGACCGCUGACUUUCUUUAAACCAGAGGAAGGUUGCGGCAAUAACAGGUCUGUGAUGCCCUUAGAUGUUCCGGGCUGCACACGUGCUACAAUGAUUAUUGCAGUGAGCAUCUUACCCAGUUCGUGUGCACAGUUUCAGUUACACUGAUACUUUAAAGGGUAUUGGUUGUGUGUUGAAGGUUUUGCCUUUAUACGCAUGGCUUUUACCUGUUGGUGUUAGCUGGCUGAUGCAUUUUUACGACUAGGCUACUUCGAAAGUAAGUAGCUAAUCAAUUCGAAGUAAUGAUUUCCUUUGCAUAUNUUAUAUAUGUCCUGUAUUUUAAGGCUGUUUUCUCUUUUAGAGAUUACAAUUUACCUCUAUUAUACGGUGGCAUGUGCUCCAUUAAUUCGUGGUGGGGACAGACCAUUGUUAAUUGUUGGUCUCGUUUUCAACUAGGAGUGCCUUGUACGGGUCUUUGGUUCAACAGACCACCCGGAAUAUGUCCCUGCCCUUUGUACACACCGCCCGUCGCUCUUACCGAUGGACUUCACUGUGAGUUUGAGGGACUGGAAACCCUUUCUAUGGAAACUUAAACGAACAGUGUGGUCUAAAGGAAAGAGAAGUCGUAACAAGGCAUCGGUAGGUGAACCU
rnacentral:rRNA from 1 species